rnacentral:rRNA from 1 species
UACGAAGGGGGCAAGCGUUACUCGGAAUUACUGGGCGUAAAGCGUGCGUAGGUGGUUUCUUAAGUCUGCUGUGAAAGCCCCGGGCUCAACCUGGGAAUUGCAGUGGAUACUGGGGAGCUAGAGUGCGGUAGAGGGUAGUGGAAUUCCCGGUGUAGCGGUGAAAUGCGUAGAGAUCGGGAGGAACACCAGUGGCGAAGGCGGCUACCUGGACCAGCACUGACACUGAGGCACGAAAGCGUGGGGAGCAAACAGG